AUUGAACGCUGGCGGCAUGCCUUACACAUGCAAGUCGAACGGUAACAGGUCUUCGGAUGCUGACGAGUGGCGAACGGGUGAGUAAUACAUCGGAACGUGCCUAGUAGUGGGGGAUAACUACUCGAAAGAGUGGCUAGUACCGCAUGAGAUCUACGGAUGAAAGCAGGGGAUCGCAAGACCUUGUGCUACUAGAGCGGCCAGUGGCAGAUUAGGUAGUUGGUGGGAUAAAAGCUUACCAAGCCGACGAUCUGUAGCUGGUCUGAGAGGACGAUCAGCCACACUGGGACUGAGACAGGGCCCAGACUCCUACGGGAGGCAGCAGUGGGGAAUUUUGGACAAUGGGCGAAAGCCUGAUCCAGCAAUGCCGCGUGCAGGAUGAAGGCCUUCGGGUUGUAAACUGCUUUUGUACGGAACGAAAAGCCCCGGGUUAAUACCCUGGGGUCAUGACGGUACCGUAAGAAUAAGCACCGGCUAACUACGUGCCAGCCGCCGCCGUAA
rnacentral:rRNA from 1 species